GAUGAACGCUGGCGGCGUGCCUAAUACAUGCAAGUCGAGCGAACGGACGAGAAGCUUGCUUCUCUGAUGUUAGCGGCGGACGGGUGAGUAACACGUGGAUAACCUACCCAUAAGACUGGGAUAACUUCGGGAAACCGGAGCUAAUACCGGAUAAUAUUUUGAACCGCAUGGUUCAAAAGUGAAAGACGGUCUUGCUGUCACUUAUAGAUGGAUCCGCGCUGCAUUAGCUAGUUGGUAAGGUAACGGCUUACCAAGGCAACGAUGCAUAGCCGACCUGAGAGGGUGAUCGGCCACACUGGAACUGAGACACGGUCCAGACUCCUACGGGAGGCAGCAGUAGGGAAUCUUCCGCAAUGGGCGAAAGCCUGACGGAGCAACGCCGCGUGAGUGAUGAAGGUCUUCGGAUCGUAAAACUCUGUUAUUAGGGAAGAACAUAUGUGUAAGUAACUGUGCACAUCUUGACGGUACCUAAUCAGAAAGCCACGGCUAACUACGUGCCAGCAGCCGCGGUAAUACGUAGGUGGCAAGCGUUAUCCGGAAUUAUUGGGCGUAAAGCGCGCGUAGGCGGUUUUUUAAGUCUGAUGUGAAAGCCCACGGCUCAACCGUGGAGGGUCAUUGGAAACUGGAAAACUUGAGUGCAGAAGAGGAAAGUGGAAUUCCAUGUGUAGCGGUGAAAUGCGCAGGGAUAUGGAGGAACACCAGUGGCGAAGGCGACUUUCUGGUCUGUAACUGACGCUGAUGUGCGAAAGCGUGGGGAUCAAACAGGAUUAGAUACCCUGGUAGUCCACGCCGUAAACGAUGAGUGCUAAGUGUUAGGGGGUUUCCGCCCCUUAGUGCUGCAGCUAACGCAUUAAGCACUCCGCCUGGGGAGUACGACCGCAAGGUUGAAACUCAAAGGAAUUGACGGGGACCCGCACAAGCGGUGGAGCAUGUGGUUUAAUUCGAAGCAACGCGAAGAACCUUACCAAAUCUUGACAUCCUUUGACAACUCUAGAGAUAGAGCUUUCCCCUUCGGGGGACAAAGUGACAGGUGGUGCAUGGUUGUCGUCAGCUCGUGUCGUGAGAUGUUGGGUUAAGUCCCGCAACGAGCGCAACCCUUAAGCUUAGUUGCCAUCAUUAAGUUGGGCACUCUAAGUUGACUGCCGGUGACAAACCGGAGGAAGGUGGGGAUGACGUCAAAUCAUCAUGCCCCUUAUGAUUUGGGCUACACACGUGCUACAAUGGACAAUACAAAGGGCAGCGAAACCGUGAGGUCAAGCAAAUCCCAUAAAGUUGUUCUCAGUUCGGAUUGUAGUCUGCAACUCGACUACAUGAAGCUGGAAUCGCUAGUAAUCGUAGAUCAGCAUGCUACGGUGAAUACGUUCCCGGGUCU
rnacentral:rRNA from 1 species